rnacentral:antisense_RNA from 1 species
UGCUAUUCCUGCCGCAUAACUCUCUUUUCCCCAGGCUUUUCCCAUCUCCAUCCUGUUCUCUCGUAGGUGCUGGGGAAAAAGAUUACUUCCCAGAUGCAGUAUUUACAUCUCCUCCGCCCCACUCUUCCAUCCCUGCCUGAAAUAAGUGUGGUUCUCGUGUCUGUGAGACUAUGAAGAGUUCUCAAAUAUGUCUUUCCUAGCGAGGGAGAGGAGAAAACUUCAGCCUCCAUGAUCGACGUUUCUCAAGUGUCAAGGAAAAUGGAGCCUAGGAGGGCAGCCCCACAAGCAUCGUGAUGGGCAUUUAAGCCGACGCAUGUGCCAGGUCCUAGAACAGAGUAACUUCCCCAUCUCAACACAAUAAAAUGGUGAUAUGAGAA